GAUGAACGCUGGCGGCGUGCUUAACACAUGCAAGUCGAGCGAAGCAGUUAAGUUGAUUUCUUCGGAUUGAUUCUUGACUGACUGAGCGGCGGACGGGUGAGUAACGCGUGGGUGACCUGCCCCAUACCGGGGGAUAACAGCUGGAAACGGCUGCUAAUACCGCAUAAGCGCACAGAGCUGCAUGGCUCGGUGUGAAAAACUCCGGUGGUAUGGGAUGGGCCCGCGUCUGAUUAGGCAGUUGGCGGGGUAACGGCCCACCAAACCGACGAUCAGUAGCCGGCCUGAGAGGGCGACCGGCCACAUUGGGACUGAGACACGGCCCAAACUCCUACGGGAGGCAGCAGUGGGGAAUAUUGCACAAUGGGGGAAACCCUGAUGCAGCGACGCCGCGUGAGCGAAGAAGUAUUUCGGUAUGUAAAGCUCUAUCAGCAGGGAAGAUAAUGACGGUACCUGACUAAGAAGCCCCGGCUAACUACGUGCCAGCAGCCGCGGUAAUACGUAGGGGGCAAGCGUUAUCCGGAUUUACUGGGUGUAAAGGGAGCGUAGACGGCAAGGCAAGUCUGAUGUGAAAACCCAGGGCUUAACCCUGGGACUGCAUUGGAAACUGUCUGGCUUGAGUGCCGGAGAGGUAAGCGGAAUUCCUAGUGUAGCGGUGAAAUGCGUAGAUAUUAGGAAGAACACCAGUGGCGAAGGCGGCUUACUGGACGGUAACUGACGUUGAGGCUCGAAAGCGUGGGGAGCAAACAGGAUUAGAUACCCUGGUAGUCCACGCCGUAAACG
rnacentral:rRNA from 1 species